rnacentral:rRNA from 1 species
AUUGAACGCUGGCGGCAUGCUUUACACAUGCAAGUCGAACGGUAACAGGUUAAGCUGACGAGUGGCGAACGGGUGAGUAAUGCAUCGGAACGUGCCCGGUCGUGGGGGAUAACGCAGCGAAAGCUGCGCUAAUACCGCAUACGAUCUGAGGAUGAAAGCGGGGGACCGUAAGGCCUCGCGCGAUCGGAGCGGCCGAUGUCAGAUUAGGUAGUUGGUGGGGUAAAGGCUCACCAAGCCAACGAUCUGUAGCUGGUCUGAGAGGACGACCAGCCACACUGGGACUGAGACACGGCCCAGACUCCUACGGGAGGCAGCAGUGGGGAAUUUUGGACAAUGGGCGAAAGCCUGAUCCAGCAAUGCCGCGUGCAGGAAGAAGGCCUUCGGGUUGUAAACUGCUUUUGUACGGAACGAAACGGCGAGCUCUAAUAAAGUUUGCUAAUGACGGUACCGUAAGAAUAAGCACCGGCUAACUACGUGCCAGCCGCCGCAGUAA